GACGAACGCUGGCGGCGUGCUUAACACAUGCAAGUCGAACGGAAAGGCCCUGCUUGCAGGGUACUCGAGUGGCGAACGGGUGAGUAACACGUGGGUGAUCUGCCCUGCACUUCGGGAUAAGCCUGGGAAACUGGGUCUAAUACCGGAUAGGAGCCAUUUUUAGUGUGAUGGUUGGAAAGUUUUUUCGGUGUAGGAUGAGCUCGCGGCCUAUCAGCUUGUUGGUGGGGUAAUGGCCUACCAAGGCGGCGACGGGUAGCCGGCCUGUGAGGGUGGACGGCCAUACUGGGACUGAGGGACGGCCCAGGCACCUACUGUAGGCAGCAGUGGGGAAGAUUGAACAAGCGGCGCAAGCCUGAUGCAGAGACGCCGCGUGGCGUAUGACGGCCUUAGGGUUGAAAAAUACUUUCGCUAGGGACGAAGCUUAUUGUGACGGUACCUAGACAAGAAGCACCGGCUAACUACGUG
rnacentral:rRNA from 1 species